UACAGAGGUCUCAAGCGUUGUUCGGAUUCAUUGGGCGUAAAGGGCUCGUAGGUGGCCAACUAAGUCAGACGUGAAAUCCCUCAGCUUAACUGGGGAACUGCGUCUGAUACUGGAUGGCUUGAGUUUGGGAGAGGGAUGCGGAAUUCCAGGUGUAGCGGUGAAAUGCGUAGAUAUCUGGAGGAACACCGGUGGCGAAGGCGGCAUCCUGGACCAAUACUGACACUGAGGAGCGAAAGCCAGGGGAGCAAGCGGG
rnacentral:rRNA from 1 species